rnacentral:pre_miRNA from 7 species
AUCUAUGAGAAUGACCCUAGCGAAUACUGAAAGACCCCCGAAGGGAGACCCUCACUCAAGCCUCGGGACAGCCGCGGACCCAAGAAGACACUGAGACCG